CCUACGGGGGGCAGCAGUGGGGAAUAUUGCACAAUGGGCGAAAGCCUGAUGCAGCAACGCCGCGUGAGUGAUGAAGGCCUUCGGGUUGUAAAGCUCUGUCUUUGGGGACGAUAAUGACGGUACCCAAGGAGGAAGCCACGGCUAACUACGUGCCAGCAGCCGCGGUAAUACGUAGGUGGCGAGCGUUGUCCGGAUUUACUGGGCGUAAAGGAUGCGUAGGCGGAUAUUUAAGUGAGAUGUGAAAUACCCGAGCUUAACUUGGGUGCUGCAUUUCAAACUGGAUAUCUAGAGUGCGGGAGAGGAAAGUGGAAUUCCUAGUGUAGCGGUGAAAUGCGUAGAGAUUAGGAAGAACACCAGUGGCGAAGGCGAUUCUCUGGACCGUAACUGACGCUGAGGCACGAAAGCGUGGGUAGCAAACAGGAUUAGAUACCCUUGUAGUC
rnacentral:rRNA from 1 species